UAGGACGGCCAUAGGGGCUCGGCUCUACCUGUUCCCAUUUCGAACACAGCAGUCAAGCGAGCUUCCGUUUUUGGUUGUACUGCUCUCUUGAGCGGGAACCCAGGAAAGCUGUCCUAC
rnacentral:rRNA from 1 species